AGCUCAUGGCUGCAGGCACUAACACAUGCAAGUCGAGCGCUCACUUCGGUGGGAGCGGCGGACGGGUUAGUAACGCGUGGGAACGUGCCCAGAUCUAAGGAAUAGCCACUGGAAACGGUGAGUAAUACCUUAUACGCCCUUCGGGGGAAAGAUUUAUCGGAUUUGGAUCGGCCCGCGUUAGAUUAGAUAGUUGGUGGGGUAAUGGCCUACCAAGUCUACGAUCUAUAGCUGGUUUUAGAGGAUGAUCAGCAACACUGGGACUGAGACACGGCCCAGACUCCUACGGGAGGCAGCAGUGGGGAAUCUUGGACAAUGGGGGCAACCCUGAUCCAGCCAUGCCGCGUGAGUGAUGAAGGCCUUAGGGUCGUAAAGCUCUUUCGCCAGGGAUGAUAAUGACAGUACCUGGUAAAGAGACCCCGGCUAACUCCGUGCCAGCAGCCGCGGUAAUACGGAGGGGGUUAGCGUUGUUCGGAAUUACUGGGCGUAAAGCGCGCGUAGGCGGAUUGGAAAGUUGGGGGUGAAAUCCCGGGGCUCAACCCCGGAACUGCCUCCAAAACUAUCAGUCUAGAGUUCGAGAGAGGUGAGUGGAAUUCCGAGUGUAGAGGUGAAAUUCGUAGAUAUUCGGAGGAACACCAGUGGCGAAGGCGGCUCACUGGCUCGAUACUGACGCUGAGGUGCGAAAGUGUGGGGAGCAAACAGGAUUAGAUACCCUGGUAGUCCACACCGUAAACGAUGAAUGCCAGUCGUCGGCAAGCAUGCUUGUCGGUGACACACCUAACGGAUUAAGCAUUCCGCCUGGGGAGUACGGUCGCAAGAUUAAAACUCAAA
rnacentral:rRNA from 1 species